CUGCACUUCUACAGAG
rnacentral:rRNA from 1 species